GCUCACUUGGUAGAGCAUGGCACUUGCAAUGCCAGGGUUGUGGGUUUGAUUCCCAC
rnacentral:tRNA from 1 species